rnacentral:rRNA from 1 species
ACGUAGGGUGCGGGCGUUGUCCGGAAUUACUGGGCGUAAAGAGCUCGUAGGUGGUUUGUCGCGUUGUUCGUGAAAACCUGAGGCUUAACCUUGGGCGUGCGGGCGAUACGGGCAGACUGGAGUACUGCAGGGGAGACUGGAAUUCCUGGUGUAGCGGUGGAAUGCGCAGAUAUCAGGAGGAACACCGGUGGCGAAGGCGGAUCUCUGGGCCGAUACUGACGCUGAGGAGCGAAAGCGUGGGGAGCGAACAGGA